rnacentral:rRNA from 1 species
GAUGAACGCUGGCGGCGUGCCUAAUACAUGCAAGUCGAGCGAACGGACGAGAGCCUGCCUCCUCUGAGUUUGGCGGCGGAGGGUGGAUUACACCUUGGAUAACCUACCUAUAAGAUUGGAAUAACUUCGGGAAACCGGGGCUAAUACCGAAUAAUCUUUUGAACCGCAUGGGUAAAGAUUGAAAGACGGUUUUGCUUUCCCUUAUAAAUGGAUCCGCGGCGCAUUAGCUAGUUGGUAAGGUAACGGCUUACCAAGGCAACGAUGCGUAGCCGACCUGAGAGGGUGAUCGGCCACACUGGAACUGAGACACGGUCCAGACUCCUACGGGAGGCAGCAGUAGGGAAUCUUCCGCAAUGGGCGAAAGCCUGACGGAGCAACGCCGCGUGAGUGAUGAAGGUCUUCGGAUCGUAAAACUCUGUUAUUAGGGAAGAACAAAUGUGUAAGUAACUAUGCACAUCUUGACGGUACCUAAUCAGAAAGCCACGGCUAACUACGUG